CCUCUGUGAUGACUGGAAAAUUGUCAUUCUUUCCAUGUGUGCUGGGCCUGCUCAUGUGUGACUCCUCAAGCACCUGUGUUGAAGCAGUUCUGCACAGAGAUCCAGAAUCAACAGUCCAGUGACCAUGACCAAAACUAUGGGCUAUAAAAAUUUAUUUUAUAGGACUAAAAUUGGUUGAAGAUUUUGCUGUUCUGCCAGACCCACCACAGUUCACAGAUGCAGUAGCGACUGCCAAAGAAUUGAGUCAAGCUCCAG